rnacentral:rRNA from 1 species
AUUGAACGCUGGCGGCAGGCCUAACACAUGCAAGUCGAGCGGAUGAAGGGAGCUUGCUCCUGGAUUCAGCGGCGGACGGGUGAGUAAUGCCUAGGAAUCUGCCUGGUAGUGGGGGAUAACGUCCGGAAACGGGCGCUAAUACCGCAUACGUCCUGAGGGAGAAAGUGGGGGAUCUUCGGACCUCACGCUAUCAGAUGAGCCUAGGUCGGAUUAGCUAGUUGGUGGGGUAAAGGCCUACCAAGGCGACGAUCCGUAACUGGUGUGAGAGAAUGAUCAGUCACACUGGAACUGAGAGACGGUCCAGACUCCUACGGGAGGCAGAAGUGGGGAAUAUUGGACAAUGGGCGAAAGCCUGAUCCAGCCAUGCCGCGUGUGUGAAGAAGGUCUUCGGAUUGUAAAGCACUUUAAGUUGGGAGGAAGGGCAGUAAGUUAAUACCCUGCUGUUUUGACGUUACCAACAGAAUAAGCACCGGCUAACUUCGUG